UUGGAUUCCAUCAUGGAGAGUGAAUGAAUCAUUGUUUGGUUGGAUUCCAUCAUGGAGAGUGAAUGAAUCAUUGUUUGGUUGGAUUCCAUCAUGGAGAGUGAAUGAAUCAUUGUUGGGUUGGAUUCCAUCAUGGAGAGUGAAUGAAUCAUUGUUUGGUUGGAUUCCAUCAUGGAGAGUGAAUGAAUCAUUGUUUGGUUGGAUUCCAUCAUGGAGAGUGAAUGAAUCAUUGUUUGGUUGGAUUCCAUCAUGGAGAGUGAAUGAAUCAUUGUUUGGUUGGAUUCCAUCAUGGAGAGUGAAUGAAUCAUUGUUGGGUUGGAUUCCAUCAUGGAGAGUGAAUGAAUCAUUGUUGGAUUUGAUUCCAUCAUGGAGAGUGAAUGAAUCAUUGUUGGGUUGGAUUCCAUCAUGGAGAGUGAAUGAAUCAUUGUUGGGUUGGAUUCCAUCAUCAUGGAGAGUGAAUGGGUCUUGUGACUUACAAUAUAUCUGGUCUAAUGUCUCUUGGGUUUGUUUACAGGGAACCCAACUUAAUGGGUUUGGGAAGACGCCUCUUUUCCUUGGGGGAGGGAACCCGUUCACCGCAGUCAAGCUACGUCCCACAGUCACCAAUGACCGCUCAGGCCCAGUCAUCUAAACCUCCAGACCCACCCUCCUGUCCACCUCUACACAGGAGCGGCACCUCCAGCUGGGCAUCACCCCAUGCUGUCCCCCCUCCUCCAGGCGGAUGGACCCAGGACCGGACACUAGUGUACGGGACAACUUGACACUGUGGACUGCUGUGCUGAAGAUCCAGUAAUUUCACUACUACAGAUGCCAUUAGAAAUGACAUUGUCUAAUACACAGUUGCCCUACUGCUGCAAACGCUCUCCCUGAGAAGGUGGGAGGAUUUAUUUAUGUAAACAGAUAUAUAUAGAUUUUCUAGACCUAUUUUUGUCGGUGAUGAUGAGUGGCGACAUACUACAUGCGUUCUCGCUGGGCGUGUGUGAAAAGGAGUCGAGGAAAGCCUGAGAUUGGCCCGUUGAAAUAUCAGAAUGUAUUUAUGACUCUUUUUUUUUUUUUUUUUUUGCUUCAAUCACUUGUCAAAAAAUGUUAGUUGCCAUAGGGCAGUAGAUACAUGAAUGUAUGCAAUACGGGACCUAUGCAUCACAAUUUACGGAGGUCCUUAUGGUAGCGUUGCUCGUUAUUGUUGAUAUAUCUCGAAUAUGAUAUGUAAAAUUGCAUUGUUGCUAUCAUUACUAAAGACCAACUGCUAGUGACUGUUGAAUAGAAGUGUACUCAUUCAAGGGAAGCGCAUAUAAUUUUUUCCCCUCAACUCCUUCCAAGAAGUGUACAAUGAAUUUGAUUGGUUGAGUGUGUCAUUGUCAUCUUGCUGAUUGGUUUUUCAGUUAAGUGUUCAUACAGUGCUGCUGUUACUAGUGGAAGAUGUGAGACCUGUUUACCUUGACUCUAUAUACCAACAGUAAUCAUUCUGUGAAACGUCUCUCACCUGUCUGUUAUUCAAGUAGCCCGGGUCAUGUUCAUUAGGCACCAAACGGAAGAAAGCAGACUGAAACCUUUGAGGGAAUGUUUCUUAUUGUUUGAUGUAAAAAAAAUCAACUGUUUUAAAAAGUUUUCCCUUUUGUUUCCUAAUGAAUAUGAGCCAGUAGUGCUGUGGACAUACAUUGUUAAAAGGACAUGGUUAAAUGGAACUCAUAACUUCCCAUAGACCGUGCAGCCAUUUUGCUUUUAUCUUCAUGCUUCAUGGAAGGCAUUUUCAACCUAGUGGCUAAUUUUAUCAUUUUUCUUUGGUCUGCCUUGCCUACUCCCUGAGUUUGGAACGUUGCUGUAUGAAAAUAAAGAAAUAUACACUGAACAAAAAUGUAAAUGCA